AGCUUGCACAGUGGUGGUAUCAUAGCCAAUGAGGUUUAUCUGAGGUGUGAUUACUGCUAAUUGAAAACUUUUUCCAACACUCUGCUGUGAUGACUUGCAAAAAAUAGCCACCAUAAUAAAAAAAUG
rnacentral:snRNA from 1 species